UUAGAAUGCUCUCCUCUUUCGAAAUACUCUCAAAGCUUCCCGAAACCCUAGCCUCUCUCAUCCCUCUUCAACCACAGCCUCACCGGAAUCCAUGGCUUCUCAAGCCAUGGAUGGCCUGUACUUACCCCCUUCGCUCUUAAACCAUGGUUACUCGAAGGCUCCAGGUCUGAUCUCAAUGGUAUCCUCUCAGAUCUUCCCAGAUUUAAGGCUUUGAGACCUCUCUGGCCUUGUUCUGUCUCAUCCAAAGCAUUUUAAGCCUGGCGCUGACUCAUCCGACUCAGGAUCGGACUUUUCCAAGCCUUUCACGUUUGGGGUUCUUCUGAAACCCUAAAAGCUCGAGGUUCUCUCUGAUUAUUUUAGAUCUGG
rnacentral:lncRNA from 1 species